rnacentral:rRNA from 1 species
GAUGAACGCAGGCGGCGUGCCUAAUACAUGCAAGUCGAGCGAACAGACGAGGAGCUUGCUCCUCUGACGUUAGCGGCGGACGGGUGAGUAACACGUGGAUAACCUACCUAUAAGACUGGGAUAACUUCGGGAAACCGGAGCUAAUACCGGAUAAUAUAUUGAACCGCAUGGUUCAAUAGUGAAAGACGGUUUUGCUGUCACUUAUAGAUGGAUCCGCGCCGCAUUAGCUAGUUGGUAAGGUAACAGCUUACCAAGGCAACGAUGCGUAGCCGACCUGAGAGGGUGAUCGGCCACACUGGAACUGAGACACGGUCCAGACUCCUACGGGAGGCAGCAGAAGGGAAUCUUCCGCAAUGGGCGAAAGCCUGACGGAGCAACGCCGCGUGAGUGAUGAAGGUCUUCGGAUCGUAAAACUCUGUUAUUAGGGAAGAACAAAUGUGUAAGUAACUAUGCACGUCUUGACGGUACCUAAUCAGAAAGCCACGGCUAACUACGUG